GGCCAGGUGGCGGAGUGGUUAACGCGAGAGACUAGAAUGAAAUUCAUCUUUCACGAAGAUGUUCAUAACAUAUCUCUUCCUUUCGGGGGCGUAGGUUCGAAUCCUGCCCUGGUCG